rnacentral:tRNA from 1 species
AAAUGAUUAUCAUAAUGGUAAUGAAUAGAACUUACAAUUCUAAUUAUGGUGGUUCAACUCCGCCAUCAUUUA